rnacentral:ncRNA from 1 species
AUACAUUCGACGACGAAGAAAGUACGUAUGAGUGAGAUCCUACAGCGAGUCAGGAUUUGGUGGAAGCCUGAUGAUGAGUUCAUGCGGAAACGCACUUCAGAGAAGUUCAGUGAAUCAAAGUAGCUUGAACCGGGAGCUCCCGUUAUCAGUAUCGAGUUGGUCUAGAUUGAUAGACAAUGAGAGUGGCACCGCGGAUAUUUAAUUAACAAAUCCGUCUCUUAC